rnacentral:rRNA from 1 species
UCGUUGUAGCAAUACGAUGGAAAAUUUAGUGGCGAACGGGUGCUUAACACGUGGGCAACCUGCCAGGAAGUGGGGGAUAGCUCGCCGAAAGGCGAAUUAAUACCGCAUGUGAUUAGAGAGGACAUCCUUUCGAAAUUAAAGUCGGGGCAACCUGACGCUUUUUGUGGGGCCCGCGGCCUAUCAGCUAGUUGGUGAGGUAAUGGCUCACCAAGGCUUUGACGGGUAGCUGGUCUGAGAGGACGACCAGCCACACUGGGACUGAGACACGGUCCAGACACCUACGGGUGGCAGCAGUCGAGAAUUUUUGACAAUGGGGGAAACCCUGAUCGAGCGACGCCGCGUGGAGGAUGAAGGUCUUCGGAUUGUAAACUCCUGUCAUUGGGGAACAAUGCGCAAAUAUUAACUGUAUUUGUGUUGAUAGUACCCGAAGAGGAAGAGACGGCUAACUCUGUGCCAGCAGCCGCGGUAAUACAGAGGUCUCAAGCGUUGUUCGGAUUCAUUGGGCGUAAAGGGUGCGUAGGCGGCGCGGUAAGUCGGGUGUGAAAUCUCGGAGCUUAACUCCGAAACUGCAUUCGAUACUGCCGUGCUUGAGGACUGGAGAGGAGACUGGAAUUCUCGGUGUAGCA